UUGAUCACUUAAGCAGCACAUACACUAAAGUUGGAACAAUACAGAGAAGCUUAUCAUGGCCCCUGCCCAAAGAUGACCCACAAAUUUGUGAAGUGUUUCAAAUUUUU